AGUUUGAUCCUGGCUCAGGAUGAACGCUGGCUGUGUGCCUAAUACAUGCAUGUCGAGCGAGGUUAGCAAUAACCUAGCGGCGAAUGGGUGAGUAACACGUGCUUAAUCUACCUUUUAGAUUGGAAUACCCAUUGGAAACAAUGGCUAAUGCCGGAUACGCAUGGAACCGCAUGGUUCCGUUGUGAAAGGCGCUGUAAGGCGCCACUAAAAGAUGAGGGUGCGGAACAUUAGUUAGUUGGUGAGGUAAUGGCCCACCAAGACGAUGAAGUUUAGCCGGGUCGAGAGACUGAACGGCCACAUUGGGACUGAGAUACGGCCCAAAAUCCUACGGGAGGCAGCAGAAGGGAAUAUUCCACAAUGGGCGAAAGCUUGAUGGAGCGCCACAGCGUGCACGAUGAAGGUCUUCGGAUUGUAAAGUGCUGUUAUAAGGGAAGAACAUUUGCAAUAGGAAAUGAUUGCAGACUGACGGUACCUUGUCAGAAAGCGAUGGCUAACUAUGUGCCAGCAGCCGCGGUAAUACAUAGGUCGCAAGCGUUAUCCGGAAUUAUUGGGCGUAAAGCGUUCGUAGGCUGUUUGUUAAGUCUGGAGUUAAAUCCCGGGGCUCAACCCCGGCUCGCUUUGGAUACUAGCAAACUAGAGUUAGAUAGAGGUAAGCGGAAUUCCAUGUGAAGCGGUGAAAUGCGUAGAUAUAUGGAAGAACACCAAAGGCGAAGGCAGCUUACUGGGUCUAUACUGACGCUGAGGGACGAAAGCGUGGGGAGCAAACAGGAUUAGAUACCCUGGUAGUCCACGCCGUAAACGAUGAUCAUUAGUCGGUGGAGAAUCACUGACGCAGCUAACGCAUUAAAUGAUCCGCCUGAGUAGUAUGCUCGCAAGAGUGAAACUUAAAGGAAUUGACGGGGACCCGCACAAGCGGUGGAGCA
rnacentral:rRNA from 1 species